rnacentral:rRNA from 1 species
ACUGCUCAGUAACACGUAGUUAACCUACUCUCAAGUGGAGGAUAAUCCUGGGAAACUGGGGAUAAUACUCCAUAGCUGUUUAUUGCUGGAAUGCGUUUACAGCAAAAGCUCCGGCGCUUGAGAAUGGGACUGCGGCCUAUCAUGGCUGUUGUGAGUGUAAUGUACUCACAAACCUGUAACGGGUAGGGGUCAUGAAAGUGAGAGCCCCGAGAUGCUUUCUGAGACAUGAAAGCAGGUCCUACGGGACGCAGCAAGCGCGCAACCUUUCCAAUGGCUUAACGGUCGAGAAGGGAAUCCUGAGUGAUUGUACAUUGUACAGUCUUUUGUUUUGUCUAAAUAGCAAGACGAAUAAGUGGUGGGUAAGACGGGUGGCAGCCGCCGCGGUAAUACCCGCGCCACAAGUGGUGAUCACUAUUAUUGGGUUUAAAGCGUCCGUAGCCGGUUUCGCAAGUUCUUGGUGAAAUCCAACAGUUGACUGUUGGGCGUGCUGAGAAUACUACGAGACUUGGGAUUGGGAGAGGGUAGGGGUAUUCCAUGUGUAGGGGUUAAAUCCUUUAAUCCAUGGAGGACCACCGGUGGCGAAGGCGCCUACCUAGAACAAGUCCGACGGUGAGGGACGAAAGCGUGGGGAGCGAACGGGAUUAGAUACCCCGGUAGUCCACGCCGUAAACGAUGCCCGUUUGAUGUUGCAAACUUUACGAGAGUUUGCAGUGUCGGAGUGUAAAUGUUAAACGGGCCACCUGGGGAGUACGGCCGCAAGGCUAAAACUUAAAGGAAUUGGCGGGGGAGCAC